GACGAACGCUGGCGGCGUGCUUAACACAUGCAAGUCGAACGAAGAGCGAUGGGAGCUUGCUUCUAUCAAUCUUAGUGGCGCACGGGUGAGUAACGCGUAAUCAACCUGCCCUUCAGAGGGGGACAACAGUUGGAAACGACUGCUAAUACCGCAUACGAUCUAAACUCGGCAUCGAGGAUAGAUGAAAGGUGGCCUCUACAUGUAAGCUAUCACUGAAGGAGGGGAUUGCGUCUGAUUAGCUAGUUGGAGGGGUAACGGCCCACCAAGGCGAUGAUCAGUAGCCGGUCUGAGAGGAUGAACGGCCACAUUGGGACUGAGACACGGCCCAGACUCCUACGGGAGGCAGCAGUGGGGAAUCUUCCGCAAUGGACGAAAGUCUGACGGAGCAACGCCGCGUGAGUGAUGACGGCCUUCGGGUUGUAAAGCUCUGUUAAUCGGGACGAAAGGCCUUCUUGCGAAUAGUGAGAAGGAUUGACGGUACCGGAAUAGAAAGCCACGGCUAACUACGUG
rnacentral:rRNA from 1 species